UACAGAGGUCUCAAGCGUUUGUUCGGAUUCAUUGGGCGUAAAGGGUGUGUAGGUGGCGCCGUAAGUCGGGUGUGAAAUUUCGGAGCUUAACUCCGAAACUGCAUUCGAUACUGCGGUGCUUGAGGACUGGAGAGGAGACUGGAAUUCAUGGUGUAGCAGUGAAAUGCGUAGAGAUCAUGAGGAAGACCAGUGGCGAAGGCGGGUCUCUGGACAGUUCCUGACACUGAGGCACGAAGGCCAGGGGAGCAAACGGGG
rnacentral:rRNA from 1 species